rnacentral:rRNA from 1 species
CCUACGGGUGGCAGCAGUGGGGAAUAUUGCGCAAUGGGCGAAAGCCUGACGCAGCGACGCCGCGUGAGGGAUGAAGGUCUUCGGAUCGUAAACCUCUGUCAGCAGGGAAGAACGGUCACUGUGCUAAUCAGCAGUGAAUUGACGGUACCUGCAAAGGAAGCACCGGCUAACUCCGUGCCAGCAGCCGCGGUAAUACGGAGGGUGCGAGCGUUAAUCGGAAUUACUGGGCGUAAAGCGCUCGUAGGCGGUAUGUCAAGUCAAGGGUGAAAUCCCCGGGCUCAACGUGGGAACUGCCGUUGAAACUGGCAAACUGGAGUGUGUGAGAGGAUAGUGGAAUUCCAGGUGUAGGAGUGAAAUGCGUAGAUAUCGGGAGGAACAUCAGUGGCGAAGGCGACUAUCUGGCACAUAACUGACGCUGAGGAGCGAAAGCGUGGGUAGCAAACAGGAUUAGAUACCCUGGUAGUC